rfam:Asian citrus Psyllid, Diaphorina citri - Florida Strain, whole genome shotgun sequence.
GCUCCCAUUGCGUAGUGGUCACUGCACUCGCCUUGCACGCGGGAGACCCGGGUUCGAUUCCCGGCGGGGUCA